GACGAACGCUGGCGGCGUGCUUAACACAUGCAAGUCGAACGGUGAAGCGCCUUCCUUUUUGGUGGGUGUGGAUGAGUGGCGAACGGGUGAGUAACACGUGAGUAACCUGCCCCCUUCUUCUGGAUAACCGCAUGAAAGUGUGGCUAAUACGGGAUAUUCUGGGUCUGUCGCAGGAUGGGUCUGGGAAAGAUAUUGUUUCGGUGGGGGCUGGGCUCGUGGCCUAUCAGCGUGUUGGUGGGGUGAUGGCCUACCGAGGCGGGGACGGGUAGGCGGCCGGAGGGGGUGGGCGGUGACAGGGGGACUGGGACACGGCGCAGAGUGCUACGGGCGGGAGCAGUGCGGAAGAUUGCACUAUGGGAGAUAGCAUGAUGGGGCGACGCCGCGUGAGGGAUGGCGGCGUUCGGGUUGUGAGCCUCUCGGUAGUGAAGCACGCCUGCCUCGUUUGUGGGUGGGUUGACGGUAGCUGGAUAAGAAGCGCCGGCUAACUACGUG
rnacentral:rRNA from 1 species